GCACAAGCCACACUGGCAUAAACUACCCAAAAUAGUUGAUACAAAUGUGGAAGCACAAUAACCACGUAAGGUUAUUAGUGGCAUAAAGCCAUAUAAAUUUCGAAAAAGCCACAAGCCGAAACAAAUUAGACAUGGACCGCAGCGCCCAAAACUAUCAAUACAACUCAACUUUUAAACUCUCACAAGUAAAAAUACAAGUAGAGACUCAACUACAAACAAAAUACCCAACUCAUAAAAGAGAUGUAAUUAUUACAACAACAAAAAACUGCAAAACCAAUCGAGAUGACAGAAAGUAGAGUUGCCGCCGUCGCCACCACGAAAACAAGAACACUACCGUCGAAGCCCAAGUUGAGGGGAAAACAGCAGCCACACAGGAACCUACAAAAAAAACACACAAACCCCACAGAUUUGCAAAAAGAACCCCAAACAACACUAAGAUAAAGCCACAAAAUAAAGGGGCAUCAUAAGGUGAGAGAGAUUUAAGGAGAUCCGGGGCAAUAAGAAAGUAGGGCAGAAAGCACAAUCAAACCCUCCAAGGGUCAAAAAUAACCACAAACUCAACCAAAAAACCAAACAGAAGGCCAGAGAAAAGAGUGAGAAAGGGGAGGAGAGAAGAUAGAGAAGGCGAAGAAAGGACAAGGGAGGAAAGGCAAUGACCUUCCUUCCCUCUCCCCUAUGAUAGGAGCGGCAGCUAUAAUUUGAGAGGCAGAGAAGUGGAGAGCGUUUGAGAGAAAAUUUUGAUAAAAACGUUCACACUAGCAUCCACAAUUGGCUCUCUAAACUACCUCCUUAGAAAAAUUUUAGGGAGGAAUUGUAAAAAAGCAACUCCAACCAUGCUCC
rnacentral:lncRNA from 1 species